rnacentral:rRNA from 1 species
UGGGGAAUAUUGCACAAUGGGCGCAAGCCUGAUGCAGCCAUGCCGCGUGUGUGAAGAAGGCCUUCGGGUUGUAAAGCACUUUCAGCGAGGAGGAAGGUGGUGAGCUUAAUACGCUCAUCAAUUGACGUUACUCGCAGAAGAAGCACCGGCUAACUCCGUGCCAGCAGCCGCGGUAAUACGGAGGGUGCAAGCGUUAAUCGGAAUUACUGGGCGUAAAGCGCACGCAGGCGGUUUGUUAAGUCAGAUGUGAAAUCCCCGGGCUCAACCUGGGAACUGCAUUUGAAACUGGCAAGCUAGAGUCUCGUAGAGGGGGGUAGAGUUCCAGGUGUAGCGGUGAAAUGCGUAGAGAUCUGGAGGAAUACCGGUGGCGAAGGCGGCCCCCUGGACGAAGACUGACGCUCAGGUGCGAAAGCGUGGGGAGCAAAACAGGAUUAGAUACCCUGGUAGUCCACGCUGUAAAACGAUGUCGAUUUUGGAGGUUGUGCCCUUGAGGCGUGGCUUCCGGAGCUAACGCGUUAAAUCGACCGCCUGGGGAGUACGGCCGCAAGGUUAAAACUCAAAUGAAUUG